UACGUAGGGUGCGAGCGUUGUCCGGAAUUAUUGGGCGUAAAGAGCUUGUAGGCGGUUUGUCGCGUCUGCUGUGAAAAUCCGGGGCUCAACCCCGGACUUGCAGUGGGUACGGGCAGACUAGAGUGUGGUAGGGGAGACUGGAAUUCCUGGUGUAGCGGUGGAAUGCGCAGAUAUCAGGAGGAACACCGAUUGCGAAGGCAGGUCUCUGGGCCACUACUGACGCUGAGAAGCGAAAGCAUGGGGAGCGAACAGG
rnacentral:rRNA from 1 species